rnacentral:rRNA from 1 species
AGAGUUUGAUCAUGGCUCAGAUUGAACGCUGGCGGCAGGCCUAACACAUGCAAGUCGAACGGUAACAGGAAGCAGCUUGCUGCUUUGCUGACGAGUGGCGGACGGGUGAGUAAUGUCUGGGAAACUGCCUGAUGGAGGGGGAUAACUACUGGAAACGGUAGCUAAUACCGCAUAACGUCGCAAGACCAAAGAGGGGGACCUUCGGGCCUCUUGCCAUCGGAUGUGCCCAGAUGGGAUUAGCUAGUAGGUGGGGUAAAGGCUCACCUAGGCGACGAUCCCUAGCUGGUCUGAGAGGACGACCAGCCACACUGGAACUGAGACACGGUCCAGACUCCUACGGGAGGCAGCAGUGGGGAAUCUUCCGCAAUGGACGAAAGUCUGACGGAGCAACGCCGCGUGAACGAUGAAGGUCUUCGGAUUGUAAAGUUCUGUGAUCCGGGACGAAGGCAUUGAUUGAGAACAUUGAUUGAUGUUGACGGUACCGGAAAAGCAAGCCACGGCUAACUACGUGCCAGCAGCCGCGGUAAUACGUAGGUGGCAAGCGUUGUCCGGAAUUACUGGGUGUAAAGGGAGCGCAGGCGGGAAGCCAAGUCAGCUGUGAAAACUACAGGCUUAACUUGUAGACUGCAGUUGAAACUGGUUUUCUUGAGUGAAGUAGAGGUUGGCGGAAUUCCGAGUGUAGCGGUGAAAUGCGUAGAUAUUCGGAGGAACACCGGUGGCGAAGGCGGCCAACUGGGCUUUAACUGACGCUGAGGCUCGAAAGUGUGGGGAGCAAACAGGAUUAGAUACCCUGGUAGUCCACACUGUAAACGAUGAAUACUAGGUGUGCGGGGACUGACCCCCUGCGUGCCGCAGUAAACACAAUAAGUAUUCCACCUGGGGAGUACGAUCGCAAGGUUGAAACUCAAAGGAAUUGACGGGGGCCCGCACAAGCGGUGGAUUAUGUGGUUUAAUUCGAAGCAACGCGAAGAACCUUACCAGGGUUUGACAUCCUGCUAACGAAGUAGAGAUACAUUAGGUGCCCUUCGGGGAAAGCAGAGACAGGUGGUGCAUGGUUGUCGUCAGCUCGUGUCGUGAGAUGUUGGGUUAAGU